rfam:Spinacia oleracea cultivar SynViroflay scaffold36926.con0038.1, whole genome shotgun sequence.
GGAUGGGUGUCCGAGUGGUUUAAGGAACCGGUCUUGAAAACCGGCGUGCGUGAGAGCGUACCGUGGGUUCGAAUCCCACCCCAUCUG